rnacentral:rRNA from 1 species
AUUGAACGCUGGCGGCAGGCCUAACACAUGCAAGUCGAACGGAGUGGCGAACGGGUGAGUAAUGUAUCGGAACGUGCCCAGUAGCGGGGGAUAACUACGCGAAAGCGUAGCUAAUACCGCAUACUAUUGGAGCGGCCGAUAGCGGAUUAGCUAGUUGGUGGGGUAACGGCUCACCAAGGCGACGAUCCGUAGCUGGUUUGAGAGGAGUACCAGCCACACUGGGACUGAGACACGGCCCAGACUCCUACGGGAGGCAGCAGUGGGGAAUUUUGGACAAUGGGGGAAACCCUGAUCCAGCCAUCCCGCGUGUAUGAAGAAGGCCUUCGGGUUGUAAAGUACUUUCAGCGAGGAGGCGUUACUCGCAGAAGAAGCACCGGCUAACUCCGUGCCAGCAGCCGCGGUAAUAC